CAUCGAUGAAGAACGCAGCGAAAUGCGAUAAGUAGUGUGAAUUGCAGAAUUCAGUGAAUCAUCGAAUCUUUGAACGCACAUUGCGCCCCUUGGUAUUCCAUGGGGCAUGCCUGUUCGAGCGUCAUUUGUACCUUCAAGCUCUGCUUGGUGUUGGGUGU
rnacentral:rRNA from 2 species